rnacentral:rRNA from 1 species
UACGGGGGGGGGCAAGCGUUGUUCGGAAUUACUGGGCGUAAAGGGCUCGUAGGCGGCCAACUAAGUCAGACGUGAAAUCCCUCGGCUUAACCGGGGAACUGCAUCUGAUACUGGAUGGCUUGAGUUCGGGAGAGGGAUGCGGAAUUCCAGGUGUAGCGGUGAAAUGCGUAGAUAUCAGGAGGAACACCGGUGGCGAAGGCGGCUACCUGGACAGAGUCUGACGCUGAGGCACGAAAGCUAGGGGAGCAAACAGG